GACGAACGCUGGCGGCGUGCCUAAUACAUGCAAGUAGAACGCUGAAGGAGGAGCUUGCUCUUCUGGAUGAGUUGCGAACGGGUGAGUAACGCGUAGGUAACCUGCCUGGUAGCGGGGGAUAACUAUUGGAAACGAUAGCUAAUACCGCAUAACAGUAGAUGUUGCAUGACAUUUACUUAAAAUUUGCAAUUGCAUCACUACCAGAUGGACCUGCGUUGUAUUAGCUAGUUGGUGGGGUAACGGCUCACCAAGGCGACGAUACAUAGCCGACCUGAGAGGGUGAGCGGCCACACUGGGACUGAGACACGGCCCAGACUCCUACGGGAGGCAGCAGUAGGGAAUCUUCGGCAAUGGACGGAAGGCUGACCGAGCAACGCCGCGUGAGUGAAGAAGGUUUUCGGAUCGGAAAGCUCUGUUGUAAGAGAAGAACGAGUGUGAGAGUGGAAAGUUCACACUGUGACGGUAUCUUACCAGAAAGGGACGGCUAACUACGUG
rnacentral:rRNA from 1 species